GUUUCUGGCCAGUAACUGAUAGAGUAUUUAUUUGCACUUUUUGGUUCUGGGGCUUAAUUUUUGUCAUUUAUAACUCUGUACAAACAUCCCUGAUUAGGAUUAUUUGUUUAAUAAAGAAUAAACAAACCAUUAUGUAAUAGAUGCAAGAUGAGAAUAACCAGAAGCUAGUUAACAUGUAUUCAAAAUGGCUUAGAGGAUUUGGGAUACUUAGUAUAUUUUAUAUUCUUACUUAGUUGUCCAGGCUACUUACAUGCCUUCAGAAGACUACCAGUGGUUUAAGUAAAUUCUUUAAUUUCAAAGAAUAAUUGUGUUUAUGACAGUUAUUACAGUAGUAAGGCCUAUCAAAGUAGUUAUUUUCUCCGUUAUCUCUUUACUUACUAAUCACAAUAUAUAAAUUAGUUCAUUAUUUGUGCUGCUUUUCUAUAAAACUGCUUCACAUUUUAGAGUUUUCAUUGUUACAUGAGUUUCUCAUCUUAGAAAAGAUAUUAUUGUAUUAGUAAAUUUUGGCUUUAUAAAAAGAGGUCCAUUUCAGUGGCUCUCUCUAUUGGUGCUCCAUCUCAUCUUGAUAUUCUAAGUCCUGUACAACUUGGUCCUCAUGCUGCCCUUCUCUCUUUUUCCCCUUCCACUCUCAAACAUGCCACCUUCACCUACCCAGGGUAGCCUCCCAACUAUCUACUAAACAUACAAUCCUCUUUCCCAACUGUGAACUUUCACUCUCACUCAUGCUCUUCUCUUGGCCUGCCCUGAUUAGCAAUCCAACCUAUUCUUUAGCACUCACUUGAAACCCCACAAGGCCACUCCAGCACAGAGCAACUAUACAUAAAUUCUUUGAGGCAAGUCACAAGGUAUUUUCUUCAGUAUCCUCCUUAGUGUCUAGCACACAUAGUCAGGGUUCAGGAUUUAAGAAAUCCAAAUGAAUUAAAUAUUUGUAAUGGAUUUGCAGCAAGUAUACCAGUAUCUAUAGCUUGUUUUGGUUCUUAUCUUGCCAUUAUGAUUUCUUUAGCAGUCUGAAAAAAUCUCCUGUGAACUACUGAUAAUGUUAAAAACCAGAGUUUUAGCAAAAGUAUAACAUGUACUUAAUUUUAAGUGCCUAUCCAUUUUGAUUGCUGGAUUUUCCAACUGCCUAACCUUAUUGUGACAUCUGUAUAAAUCAUAUGUGAUUAUUAUAAUUCUUUUUGAAAGUGAUGUCUUCACAUUUCCAUGCCCAUAGCCUGCCAAAAAUAUAGCUGAUGAAAACCAGGGGGAAUAGAGGAAUUUCCUGAAAGGAAUAAACAAGCACAUUUUCUUUUUCUCAUUACAUUUCCACAAAUUCAUUACUUCAAGUAAUUCUUAAAUUCAGUUACAUUUACACAUCAGGUAUCUUGUUGUUAAAACCUAUUAUCUGGCACUAGGAUUAGCUUUUGUUUAUGGGAAAGUAAAACACACACACACACACACACACACACACACACACGCACACACACGCACACACAGACGAAGACAGACAGAGAGUGCUAAAGAUUGCCAGACAAAGAAGAGAGAUAUGAGACUUGGAGGAUGUUCAAAGGAAAGCCACAACGAGAAUUAAAAGGUUGGAAAAUAUGAUAUUCUGGGAUCUUACCAUAGUUGAUUGCUUGUCCUUCUUCCUGCUCAGUCACCCUGUCAUCCACCCACCCUUCUGUCAGCCACUACCUUCUCACAGGUAUUUGUCUACUCACCCACUUGACACCCACUUCUGUCUGCCAAGACAGAUACCCUCUCAACAUAACUACCAGUGGGCAUUUGGCUGUUUUUGAGCAAGUGUUUGUUGAGUAUGAAUGUAAGAGAAAGAAAGAGAAAUAUCUUUAUGAGACUGAGUUACAGUGGGUAUAUUUGCAUAUAUAUGCAUGUGUCAUUAUAUACAAGCGUAUGUGUUUUUGCAUGGAUGAGUGGCUGAGGAUGACUCUGUCUGUGUCAAUGUGUAUCUAUGAAUGUGUAUCACUGUGUGGAGGAAGAGAUAAUGUAUGUGUUAAUUUUCUGUAGGUAUUUGUAGAUAAGUUGGAUAUGAGAGGCCAUAAGUGUAAGACAAGUUUUCUGUAGCUACCCUAGGGAAGGUUAGGAACUCAGCAAAACCCCUCCUGAUACUAAGGAUCUCCAUAAUAAAUGAGCAAGUUCAUAUAUUCUCAUGAUAAGAAAAGUCUCCAGGUGGAGACCAGGACCGGUUAUCAUGGGUGAGAGAUCAAAAAAAGUUGUUUCUCACUUUCAUGCACUUAGGUACUGAAUCACAGUAGUUAAAUAUAAUGAGAACAAAGCAUUUCAGUCCAGAUUUGCACUCUCUAAGGUAUGGUAGUGGACGGGUGUGUAUGGGGGUGGGGGUAAUAUCUGUCAUGAGGUGUCUCAGCUAAACAAGCCUUCAACUCACUAUUGUAAAAUCAUUCUUGCUUGUAGAUAUAACUUCUCUGUGUUCUCUUAAUUGCCCAAGACUUGCCCCCAUUACUUAUAAUAUAUAUAAAUCUGUUAAUCUUUUGUACGUGUAUGGGGAUAAAAAUGCAUUUUAUUCCAUCUCUGCUCAAACUGUGUGCUAAGACU